CAAAACAGUGUUCUCUUUCUCAGAACCACCGUGCUCAACGUUCCCAAUCCGAACUUUAAACCAUCAAACACUGUUUAGGAUCGCAGCAAAUGAAAUCAAGAAAAAGGGUUAUAAUUUUUCUCAAUCCAAACUCAUCUUUCUCAAUUCAAGAAUGAAAUUGAGGAAAAAUUUUAAGAUGUGGCCAAACCUUAUUCAAAAAUUGGAGGACUUUAUGUCAUCGAAACUAUGUUUCUGAACUUACAUGAACCAGUUAACCAGUUAAAGGGGAAUCAAAGUAAGGUGAUGUUUGAGGAGGGAGAUGCAGCGAUGCAGUUAUCGUUGUGCGGCGAGAAUCGUGGCGGUGAAUGCAA